GACUCCAAUGCUUCUUACAAGGCAAAAGAGAAAAGUAUUCUAAAGUACUGAUACUGAGCUGCUCUAAUGCUCCACCCAAGUCUGUGACGAUGAACAACACCCACCCAGUAAAUGGUGGGCGUUCUCUUCUUUCAAGAGAAGCUGCGAGAGGAGAGCACAAAAUGAAGAACCCAAAAACGGGUUGCUGCAGUCUGCGGUAGCUGUGCUGAUCUCACAGCUGUCCUGCUGCUCACAGAGGAGAAGCUUCCUUGUUUGUACAAUUUGCUCUGAAGAAUGCUGGGGCCCAUGGAAGCCAACUGGAUGUUGACAGGAGGUGGGGACACCAUUCCUAGAGAACCCCUCUGAGAAUACAUUGCUGCAGGAGGAGAUCAGACCUAGUGAAGGCUUGAAGGCACCCGCAAGUCUUGGCCAUGUCCACCUCACACUACCUGUUGCUGCUUUUGCUGGGAUCCUCUCUUGGGGUGGAAAUCGUAGAAAGAAAAUUUGCAGCAGAAGGAUCCUCUGUCAUGAUGCAUGCACCGGCCAUCAGCAAUGUGAACAUCACUGAGUGGGAAUACAUAGAGGGCAGCACGCCCAAAUUCAUCUUGCAGUACUAUGCCCACCAGCAGGCUCCAAUCAUUUAUUCCGCGUACCAAGGCAGAGUGGUUUUCUACCAAACGAAUGGCUCACUUCUCCUGCAGCAGCUGCGGGAGGCGGACAGCGGUGUCUAUAAAGCAACAGUUGACCUGAUGCAGGAAAAAGCAAGGACAACCAUCCUCGAAGUGAUCAAGCCUGUGCCCCAGCCUGAGCUCCUGAAGAACUCAAACCUGAAUGACUCCUUCAUCGAGCUGACUUGCUUGAUGCCCAAUGGAACCAUGGCUGCCGUCUCCUGGAAGAAAGACGGACGUCCCCUUCCCCACAAAAAUUAUCAGCUCCUUCAGGACACCACUGUGUUGUGGAUAAAGAAGGGAGAGAAGUCGAACUGUGGCUCCUACUCCUGCAAUGUCAGCAAUGCCGUAAGCUGGAAAGAGGCAACCUUCAACCUGACAAUAACAGGUCUCUCGCCUCCUCUCCAUGAUGCACUGAGGAUGACUGUGUCUGCACUGGUGCUUGCUGUCAUCGCUGCCAUCAGCUUUGUUAUCUGGCUUCUGCCAGAGAAGCACAGACUUGGAGUAGAAGCACGGAUAUGGCUAACUCUACCCAUCAUAGGGCUGCUGGGCGUUUCAUGUCUCCUCUUGUUUGUCACCUCUGUCACCUGGAUGCAGGAAGAAGGUCCUUCUGCUGCCUUCAUCCUGCAUGGGCUGUACUUCCUUGCUGCAGUCAUGACCAUGGUGCUGGUGGCAAUGAUCUCACAGUGCAGACUAGAAGCACUCACCUGCUGCCCAGCCCAGACCUGCCGCCAUGUCAUCCUGUGCAGUUCAGCCAUGAUGUUGGGAGUCAACUUGUCGUUCUCCUGCCUUUUGCUCCACGACUUCCAGCAGGUCCAUGAGCGUGGCUGUUCAGAGCCUGUUGAUGUGAUUGCCAGCUGCAUUUGUACUGUACUAGCAGCUCUCCUGCUGCUGCUGUUCUCCUUUUGCUAUCACAAGAAGAAGGUGGAUGCCAUGCACAGCAAGCAGACCACAAGUAUCCGUGUGAAAGAAGGUCAAGGACUGAACCAAGACAAGAAGAGCAGCCUGUCCCUUCAGCAUCCCAGAGAUGACAUCACACAGGAGCCAGAGUGAAAAAGAAAAAAAAGAGGGCAGCAGAGGGGCAGUCUGACCAAAUGGUGUCUGACAUGGAAGAGUAUAUGACCAAAGAUGUGGAGCUGAAUCUUUCCAUGUGGGGGAAAAAAAAGUACCUAUUGACAUUCAGCACCUGAUGAACGUUUAUGGAGACCAAACAGUGUAUGUGAGUACAGGGAGGAGGGGGGUGGUGCAUUUCAGCAUUGUGACAGUGGAACACCUCCACUGGUGCAUGCUUUGACAAGUGUGGCAUGCAGGCUCUUAUUCAUUGCUGGUGAAAAAGCAUAGCUUGUGGUGGUGACUAUGUUGAAAAAUAAUGCUUCCUAGCUGGUAAUUUGAUCUAUCCAGUACUGGUUUUAUGCUUUUUUAUCAGUUGCAGUUUCCAUGAAAAUACAGCCAGCUCAAAACAAUUCCUCUUCACUCAAUAUGGUCUAAAGGUUGGGCACCAACUUACUAACAUGUUCUUUCAUGAGGAAAAAAAAAAGGAAAAUCCCUUUAGUUCACAGUUUCCUUCACUUAGCUACAGCUGCCCCAAAAAACAUAUCCCAUGUGGCUCCUGGCUGUGUCCCUGGUUGUGCAGAGGGAGCCCCAUGCUCUUUGGGACCCAGCUCUGGGGCUCGAUCCUACCCCAGCAAGCUCUGCAUCACGCUUUUUGAGUCCAGGGCGUGGGAGGGAGCCUUAAACAUCCAAGCUACAGCUCGGCGAUGCCCCGGGUUGUCGCAAAUCCCAUCCUCAGGGCAAGGAAAGCCCCUGUCCCCUUGUCCAGACGCCUCCUAACGGCCAAGACAGAAGUUCUUAGAGCCAGGAUCCAGACGUUGCAAUGGCACAACCCUGUGGUAGCGAGAGGAAGAGCAUUACAGCAUCUUUUCUCCAAGCAAAGAACAAAAAGGCCUGCAAAACUACCUGGCACUUUCUCGCUUUGUACACCAACAAGCUGAUUCACGUUUGAGCAGAAUUUUGUUAUUUAUGUCUGACAGGAAAAAGGCCUUCUGCUCUACAGGGGACCAUUUUGCAUAGAAAGGAGCUGCUGCCUGCCACACAUCCAAACAACAUCCCCACACUGGAAGGCUUACGAGCCCAGACAAAUCUUGCAUCUUAAUGGCCAGCUUCCAGUGCAAAGUUGUCAUUUCCUAUGCCCGUAUACAUAAGAAACUUAUCCCUAUCUUCCCCCCAACAGCAUUAACAAUGAUUUAGUUAUGUAUUAGCGUUCUCCAAACCUGGAGGAAGCACAAAGACAGAUUUUUAUUUUUCCUAGGACUGAGUGAGAGCAGGGAUGUAUUGGUGCCUGGAGCACUUAGGAACAUACCUGCCCAAGCGUGUCUUGACAGAGAACAGUCCUGUUCACCUGCAUUGUGGUCUUGUUUCAUGAUUUCUGGAUUAACUUCCAGAAUUUCAGAUCACUUAAAACAUUUCAGCUUAACACACCUUUGAAACUGCCAAGCUGAUAGCAUUACUCGUGUUGUGUGCAUGCUGGACUGGAAGGAGGGCUUCCAAAUCAGAGGACGCACAUCUCGGAGCUGCGUGGCGCCGAAGCCCCGGGGGGCUGUCACUGAAGGCCGGGCAGGUGGGGAACGUCUGGAAACGGCCCCGAGCCGGAGAGCGGAGCACGGCAGCACCUUGGACAGAGCCACACCGCGCCCCGCACGGCACAGGUGUUCUGUUACUGUCUCUUCUCGGAAAUGUAAGCGCCUGUUAUCCCCGUUGUACUGCUGUGGUCUUCGCGUGCGGGAAAUAACCACCGUGGGGUACCAAAGCCUCUCCCAGCGUCCCUCGGCUGGCUCCCGCCAUGCCCAGUGCCGCGGCGGGGAGCGCCGCGGCCACCAUCACGGCACUCCGGACGGACAGCACGGCCGCUUCCGGUGCGAGGCGGAAAUGGGUGGGAGUGGCGGCGGCAGCACCACCGCCUCGCAGGGCGCCCCCUCGCGGAGCGGAGGUUAGGAGGGCUCUGGGAAAACAAGUGCCCCCCCCAACCAGCCUGGGACCCUCCCACUGCCCCGAUCGCUGACUUUUUCUGGCUGAAGACAAACUGACUGAGUUCUUGUAGGGUGUUGAUUCUCAUUCCCAACACCCGCUCCUCUCCACAUCGGCGCUAUGGAAGUAAGAUGACAAUUUUUGGCUUAAAUGUUGACAGGUGAAUUUGGAGAACAUUGCCCACAAGGUAAAAACUAUUAUUCCAAAGCGUAAGCCAAGGGCAAAGAAAAAUCUACCCUUCAAAUUUCUUACAGAAGGAACCCUGUAUCACCUGCUUUGAGCUACCUCUGAGCAUCUUUUAUAUCCCCUACUCCCACGUGCCUAUGGGUUGGAAACCCAUAGAGGCAUUGCGCAAGAUGUAGUGGAUUUCCACUUCCUUACAAAGAUGCUUUGUCCUUUCAUACCCGGUAUGCAUGAAAUAACAGAUCCUUAACAUUUGGAGUCUAACAUCUGUUGCGUACAGGUAAAGUGGCAUUGAACUGAAAAUCACACUAUGACUUUGUACUUUGCAAAGACAUGAACUCUGACUUUAAGAAAUAAGUGAAUUAAAAUAUGUUUAGACAAAAA